rnacentral:rRNA from 1 species
UACAGAGGUCUCAAGCGUUGUUCGGAUUCAUUGGGCGUAAAGGGCGCGUAGGCGGCGGGGUCAGUCGGGUGUGAAAUCUUGGGGCUUAACCCCGAAACGGCACUCGAAACUGCCCGGCUGGAGGGCCGGAGAGGAGAUCGGAAUUCACGGUGUAGCAGUGAAAUGCGUAGAGAUCGUGAGGAAGACCCGUGGCGAAGGCGGAUCUCUGGACCUGUCCUGACGCUCAGGCGCGAAAGCUAGGGGAGCGAACAGG